rnacentral:lncRNA from 1 species
GGCCUUGAGGUCAUACUCAAGCCCAUUCGCCACCUCUUGGGCCUCCCUGCCUGGCCUUUGAAUGAAGUUUCAGAGUGAGAGGCGCAGCCCUGAGGCGCGUGGACCUGAAAGCUUGGCGAGUAAACAAUUGGGAAAUAGUAAAAUCUGCCAGGUUCUCUGGCAUGAGAACUCCAGGCAAAUAAAUCCAACUAAAAUGAGGCGAGGGCAUUUCAUGCAGUCAGAUCAUCUCAGGAAGACACUGGAGGCUGAGGCGGGAAGACUGGUGCUAGUAAAAUUGCCAGAAAUUUGAGGACAAGGCUUCCAAGUUCAACAGUCCUGACUGUCCCGGAACUCACUUUGUAGACCAGUCUGGUCUUGAACUCAAAGCAAUACACCUACCUCUGCUUCCCAAGUGCCAGGAUUAAAGAAGUGGCCCCCACCUCCAGAUAGAAUGAUUAUUUUCUUUCUGGACUUUUAUAAGGGUAGGAAAGAUGGCAGAGGAUAUUGGGAGAAAGCCCAGCAUUGCAAGUGUUUGAGCGCUUUGUCUGCAUGGUGUACAAU